CAAACGACUCUCGGCAACGGAUAUCUCGGCUCAUGCAUCGAUGAAGAACGUAGCGAAAUGCGAUACUUGGUGUGAAUUGCAGAAUCCCGUGAACCAUCGAGUUUUUGAACGCAAGUUGCGCCCGAAGCCAUUCGGUCGAGGGCACGUCUGCCUGGGCGUCACGC
rnacentral:rRNA from 1 species